CGAUCUCUCUCGGUGGCAUCCUCGGGGUUGCCGUCUCUCGCGGAUGACACUCCCACAUGGAGACGGCGACCGCCGUGUGAGCGUCAAGGCGCUAUAUUCUUCCACCGCUUGAGCCCUCCCCGUCUUCUUCGAGCUGCAUAAGGUAAAUCCUCUGACAGGGAGACUCGAAAUCCGUUCUUUUCUAGGGUUAGGACAAGGUUUUGGUUCGUUCUGCCCCUUUUCGCCCGUUCUUUUUCUUGGUUCGCCCCCUCGGUAUUCUAGGGUGGGGGAUGGCAGUUUAUCAGGGAUUUGGGAAUGGAAUCGGUGAGGGUUUCUUUUACGGGAUGGUCUUGUGGGGUCUUCAACACUACCAGAUUGGUAGGAGGUGAUCGAGACCAUGGAUUCGUCUCCGCCCGCGACGAUCGCGACGAUGAGCUCUCGAUCGAGUCCUCGAAUCUCCGAAGGCGGGUGCCGCUGGUGGCUCCAUCGGGGCUGGGCAGCGUAUGAUGUGCGCGAUUCUUCCCUGCUCACUGAGAAAUCGAAGGGCAAGAUCAUCCACAGCGCGAAUGGCGUCUCGGGGCUUCGCAUGUCCCGCCUGCAACUUGAUUGUGCUGCUUGUCCGUGACACGACUUGGAGAACAUGUACAUGUCGUGUUAGUGUUCGAGGAGCGGCCAGAGAACACGGUGAGGAAGACGGAGAUGUUGAGCCUCGGUUUCCUCUUUAGUAUUGAUGGAGUUUUGGUCUCAUCGGAUGCAUGAGAAGCAGUGCAGGGGAUCGGACCUUUCGGUGGUGAGGGAGCGUUCCCAAGAACUGGGUGAAGCCAUCAAUGGCAAACGGGAUUAGAAGGAUUCUUGGUCAUGGUUAGCUUUGCCUAUCUCCGAUCAUCAACAUUCAAGCUCACGGAUCCUUCUCCCAAUUUAAUAUUCAAACAACACUGUUAAGUCUUAG
rnacentral:lncRNA from 1 species